rnacentral:rRNA from 1 species
AUACGGAGGGUGCAAGCGUUAUCCGGAAUUAUUGGGUUUAAAGGGUCCGUAGGCGGCUAGAUAAGGCAGUGGUGAAAUUCUCUCGCUCAACGAGAGACCUGCCAUUGAUACUGUCUUGGCUAGAGUUACAGUGAGGUGAGUGGAAUGUGUAGUGUAGCGGUGAAAUGCAUAGAUAUUACACAGAACACCGAUUGCGAAGGCAGCUCACUAACUGUAUACUGACGCUGAUGGACGAAAGCGUGGGGAGCAAACAGGAUUAGAAACCCUAGUAGACC